GCUUGUCUCAAAGAUUAAGCCAUGCAUGUCUAAGUAUAAGCAACCUUAUACAGCGAAACUGCGUACAGCUCAUUAUAUCAGCAAUUAUUUAUUUGAAGAUCACCUAUUACAUGGAUAACCGUGGUAAUUCUAGAGCUAAUACAUGCGAAAAGACGGGCCGCAAGGCUUGUUGUAUUUAUUAGAUCCAACCAACCGCGGCGGGCAACCGGCGCGAACCUGGUGAAUCAUGAUAACUGAGCGAAUCGUAUGGCCUCGCGCCGACGAUGGUUCAUUCAAGUUUCUGCCCUAUCAGCUUUCGAUGGUAGGGUAUUGGCCUACCAUGGCAUUGACGGGUAACGGAGAAUUAGGGUUCGAUUCCGGAGAGGGAGCCUGAGAAACGGCUACCACAUCCAAGGAAGGCAGCAGG
rnacentral:rRNA from 1 species